AUUGAACGCUGGCGGCAUGCUCUACACAUGCAAGUCGAACGGUAACAGGCCGCAAGGUGCUGACGAGUGGCGAACGGGUGAGUAAUGCAUCGGAACGUGCCCAGUCGUGGGGGAUAACGCAGCGAAAGCUGUGCUAAUACCGCAUACGAUCUAUGGAUGAAAGCGGGGGACCGUAAGGCCUCGCGCGAUUGGAGCGGCCGAUGUCAGAUUAGGUAGUUGGUGGGGUAAAGGCCCACCAAGCCAACGAUCUGUAGCUGGUCUGAGAGGACGACCAGCCACACUGGGACUGAGACACGGCCCAGACUCCUACGGGAGGCAGCAGUGGGGAAUUUUGGACAAUGGGCGCAAGCCUGAUCCAGCAAUGCCGCGUGCAGG
rnacentral:rRNA from 1 species